GACGAACGCUGGCGGCGUGCCUAAUACAUGCAAGUAGAACGCUGAAGGAGGAGCUUGCUCUUUCCGGAUGAGUUGCGAACGGGUGAGUAAUAUAUCGGAACGUACCGAGUAAUGGGGGAUAACUAAUCGAAAGAUUAGCUAAUACCGCAUAUUCUCUGAGGAGGAAAGCAGGGGACCUUCGGGCCUUGCGUUAUUCGAGCGGCCGAUAUCUGAUUAGCUAGUUGGUGGGGUAAAGGCCUACCAAGGCGACGAUCAGUAGCGGGUCUGAGAGGAUGAUCCGCCACACUGGGACUGAGACACGGCCCAGACUCCUACGGGAGGCAGCAGUGGGGAAUUUUGGACAAUGGGCGCAAGCCUGAUCCAGCCAUGCCGCGUGUCUGAAGAAGGCCUUCGGGUUGUAAAGGACUUUUGUCAGGGAAGAAAAGGCUGUUGCUAAUAUCGACAGCUGAUGACGGUACCUGAAGAAUAAGCACCGGCUAACUACGUGCCAGCAGCCGCGGUAAUACGUAGGGUGCGAGCGUUAAUCGGAAUUACUGGGCGUAAAGCGAGCGCAGACGGUUACUUAAGCAGGAUGUGAAAUCCCCGGGCUCAACCUGGGAACUGCGUUCUGAACUGGGUGACUAGAGUGUGUCAGAGGGAGGUAGAAUUCCACGUGUAGCAGUGAAAUGCGUAGAGAUGUGGAGGAAUACCGAUGGCGAAGGCAGCCUCCUGGGACAACACUGACGUUCAUGCUCGAAAGCGUGGGUAGCAAACAGG
rnacentral:rRNA from 1 species